UACGUAGGCUUUGUUCACCAUGGCUAUAAUCACCGUCUUGUUUUGUGUUGACGUCUCCGCUAGAGCUUCCUCUAGUUCAUCUUUCUCAUAUGGCUUCAUAUUGAACUGUAAUAACAUGUAGAAACACACGGUAAGUUAAUGUGUUAGAAUAUAAUAUGAUUCUGGUAUCAGAGCUCUCGGGUUUGACUUCCUGAUAUAGAUUAAGGAGAGAAGGUAGAGUUUGAGUGCUUACGGUUGCCGCAUGGGAUUUGCUACUAGAUGCAAGGAAUUGAGGUUUUUGAAAAGGUGUAGGCAAGAUCAAGUAGUUGACGUUGGCUUCAUUGCAAACGAAUACGUAGAGGAAACCAAGAAAAAGAAGAGAUGCGACGCUAAAAUUCACGAUCUGAUGGCUCUUUUGAGACUGAGCAAGAUCCAUAGAUAUUCUGUUAGGAAGAAUGAUCUUCUGCUUCGCUCUUAUUACUAUGUUGCGAUUUUUCUACUUGCGGGGAGGAGGGCUUAAGAAAAUUGGCUAAAAGUCAGUAGUUUUGUUUUAAUUAUACACGACUUGUUUACAUGUCGGUACGUUUUGUU
rnacentral:lncRNA from 1 species